UACGGAAGGCAGCAGUGGGGAAUAUUGCACAAUGGGCGAAAGCCUGAUGCAGCUAUGCCGCGUGUAUGAAGAAGGCCUUAGGGUUGUAAAGUACUUUCAUCGGGGAGGAAAAAACAAAACUAAUAAUUUUAUUUCUUGACGUUACCCGAAAAAGAAGCACCGGCUAACUCCGUGCCAGCAGCCGCGGUAAUACGGAGGGUGCUAGCGUUAAUCAGAAUUACUGGGCGUAAAGAGCACGUAGGUGGUUUUUUUAAGUCAGAUGUGAAAUCCCUGGGCUUAACCUAGGAACUGCAUUUUGAAACUGAAAUACUAGAGUAUCGUAGAGGGAGGUAGAAUUCUAGGUGUAGCGGUGAAAUGCGUAGAUAUCUGGAGGAAUACCUGUGGCGAAAGCGGCCUCCUAAACGAAUACUGACACUGAGGUGCGAAAGCGUGGGGAGCAAACGAGGAUUAGGAUACCCGU
rnacentral:rRNA from 1 species